ACAAUCAAACAAGAACAUGCACGAUCAAUCACACCAACAUGAUUCAGACCAGGGGUGCUACUCUCAAAUACGCACACUCACCCAUUCCAAGAAUGAUUUCACUUACUGUAUUCUUUACACUUCUGAUCUAUCUGAAACCCUCUUCAUAAUCUUCUAACUACUACUAGAACUCGACAAGAACCACUUGGUGAAAUCCCUAGGCUAUUGCAGUGAAUCCAGGUUGAACAAGAAUAUUGAACAGCUUACUUCUAGAUAGCAACAACUCUUCCAAU
rnacentral:lncRNA from 1 species